rnacentral:rRNA from 1 species
UACGUAGGGUGCAAGCGUUGUCCGGAAUUAUUGGGCGUAAAGAGCUCGUAGGCGGCUUGUCACGUCGAUUGUGAAAGCCCGAGGCUUAACCUCGGGUCUGCAGUCGAUACGGGCUAGCUAGAGUGUGGUAGGGGAGAUCGGAAUUCCUGGUGUAGCGGUGAAAUGCGCAGAUAUCAGGAGGAACACCGGUGGCGAAGGCGGAUCUCUGGGCCAUUACUGACGCUGAGGAGCGAAAGCGUGGGGAGCAAACGGG